CACCACUAGGGUCAGUAAGGUGGGUGGAAUCCUGGGGUCCUCCAAACUUCCCUGGCCUUCUCUCCACUUUCCUCUUUAUUUUUGUUUUGUUUUUUGCCAUAUACUGGCAUUUUUAAAAAGAGCCCAGGCAUUGUGCAGUGGCUCACGCCUGUAAUCCCAGCACUUUAAGAGGCUGAAGCAGGCGGAUCACCUGAGGUCAGGAGUUCAAGACCAGCCUGGCCAACAUGGUGAAGCCCCAUCUGUACUAAAGAUAAAAAAAAAAAAAAUUAGCCAGGCAUGGUGGCACUCGCCUGUAAUCCCAGCUACUCAGGAGGCUGAGGCAGGAGAAUUGCUUGAACUCUGGAGGCGGAGGUUGCAGUGAGCCAAGAUUGCGCCACUGCACUCCAGCCUGGGCAAGGGAGAGACUCCGUCUCUAAAUAAAUAAAUAAAUAAGUAUGUUUUAAAAGAGCCCAGGCGAUUCUACAGUAACACACAAACAAGGCUGCAAACCCUGGACUGGCCGCUUCACGUCCCUUUCUUAGUACAGGUGCCUUCUCUUCCUAGUUAGUGCUAUUUACAUGAAGCAUCUCCAGGUGACUUUCAACUUCCCUAUAUUCAAAUGUCUUGCCAUAUGCUCUUUUGCAUAAUAAAAGUACAUAUACCACACUGAGUAUUGCUCUGUGUAAAGCUGACGGUGCUGUUCACAUCAGAAAUUGCAGCACUGAAGAACAGAGUUCAUGCAGAUUUUUACAACAUGCAUCAGCUACAGUGAGUAUUCUUGCAUGCUUUUAGCCAAUGCAAGCUCUCAUGGCACGCUGUACUGUAAGCUCCGGGUCGGUGUGCACUUCUGUUUUGUUCCUGCAUUUCAAGCCAUGUGAACUGACAUGUUUUCUUCCCCAUGGCAUUUGUUUGUUGAUGGUACCAGCUGUCAAAAACCAAGCAAGUGGCAGUGCUAGAGGUGCCACAAAAGUGCAAAGGAAGUGUUAGGCUGGAUGUCAAAAUGAACACCUUGGAGAACUAGAUGAUGGAACAGACCGUAAAAAUCAGCUAAACAUCAGAGAAAAUGGAGGAAGAGGUCAAAACUGUGAACAGGAACUAGAAGAAAGUGUAGCAGAAAAAGACUUGUCACAAACUUCGAGAGAUUUGGAGAAAAUGAUGUCAAAACACAUCUUCCUCAAGCCCAUGCUGAGUAUCUCUGAUUUGGUUAAUUUCUUGGCUGCUAGCAAGUUUAGGCAGGCCCUAGCACACCCAUCCCUGUGUGCUCCCCCAACCUCAGCCUAGCAAAUGAACCAGUGUAGUGUGAAGAUAUGUGAUUCGGGAUUGCCAUAUCAGUCAAGGUCCCAGCAGGAAGCAGAUGGCACAUUCAAACUGGACAAUUUGAGGAGCAAUUAGUAAGUGGACUGUUGGCGGUGCAUACCUGUAACCCCAGCUACUUAGGAGGCUGAGGCAGGAGGAUCUCUUGAACCCAGGAGUUCGAGGCCACAGUGAGCUAUGAUCUCCAGCCUGGGUGACAGGGUGAGACCCUAUCUCUAUUAAAAAAAAAAAAAAAAAAACAUGGACUGUUUGCAAAAGUGUGAGCAUGUGUACGGAAAACUUAAGGAAUAAUGAAGUAUCUUGGGGCCAUUACCUAGGCCUACAGAGGAUGGUUGCUGGAAUGCAGAGAUAGAGAGAGAUAUGGAGACUGUCACUUCGUAGAUGAGGGAUGAAGGCAGCCUGUGCUGUGCACCAUGGAGGACAGAGAUUUAAUUAAUAGCCCAGCCAUCCAUGGAGCCCAUGCUGGUGCUCCUCACUGGCCAAACCCAAGUGGAAGGCAGAAGGCAAGGAAGCCCACAAAUCUAGGCCAGGUCAUCCUCCAAGGGCACUGAGCAGGGAGGAGAAGAAUAGAGACGUGAAGAGGCAGAAGGAAGAUACGGAGCACACCUACCUGCUAGGGUAGGACUGAAAGAGCCACUGGGGAUUCUGAACGCAAGCCAACACGGCAAAAGGCAGAAGACAAAAAUGUAGUAAAACCAAGUCACCUGUGGUGCCAUCCAAGCUGCUGAACAGACGCCACCUGAAGCUAACUAGAUACCUCAGUAUAUUUCUCAGUAUAGGAGCCAAUAGAUUCCCUUUAUUGUCCAGAUGUUACUUGAAACACAAAAAGCCCUCACAGAUGUAAUGAGUUCUUCGAGUAUUACUGAGGUUUCAAUAAGCAGAAAUGGAGAAAUCACUUUCCAGAAACAGGGAACAGAAUAAGCAAAGGCCAAGGUGAAAAUGAGGGGCAUGUUUGGGGAUCCGUGAGUAGGCAGUUGACUGGAGCCUGUAGGCCAAGUAUUAGCAGAAGAUUCCAGAAAGAUAAGUGGGGUCUCAUAGACUGGAAGUCCUAGAACUGGAAGUCAAGGAGUUGGGAGCUCAUGCAACUGGCAAUGGAGAACCACCAAAAGGUGAACUGUUGUGCUUGUAAUUAUUUUCUUCAUGGUUUCUUUGGGGUCCUGGGAGUGUGUGGUGGCUGGUAUGUGUAACUGUGAUUAACUUUACAUCGUGAAAAGUCAGUCACCAAAAGGCAGGAGAAGAGGCUAGAUGGGACUCGCCUGCAGAACUGGACGGAGAGCUCUGCGGCUGCCACCGAAUCUGCUCCAGGAUCCUGCCGAGUCUCCUCCCACCCAGGGUAAACCAUUUCCACUUACUACGGACUCCACCUUGUGGUCAUGCUUGAGAACUGCACCACUGCCUCCGCAGUCCUACCCACAAGGGCAACAGGAUCACCACCCUCUUUCCUUGUCCCUCUCAUACCUUUAGGUCUCUUAAAAAAAUGAAAGCAACAGUGUACAGAAAGAAGUAUAAAGGAAAAAUUAUUUCAAAAUUAAAAUUUAACAAAUAAAAGCAUACCAAGAUAAA